UGUCUGCAUGAGGGGUGAGGCGGUGACGGCAGAAGCGCACAGAGUGACAAACAACGUUAAGGUGUGCAGCCGCUCUAACGGUGAAAUGAAGUGUGCGUGUGUUCCGUAGAGUUUCUUGGACGGAGAGCAGAGGAGGAGAGUCUGCCGGGCAACAGCGGAGAAGAAAAACGGCACCAACCAGCACACCGUGUCACGUCUCAUUUUGGAACGAUGCUCUUCAAAUACUUCAUCACCGGCCCUCUCAGUUUCACUGCAGACGCUGGCUGACCUCAUUGAGUGACCUCACCAAUCACAGAUCAAAGUCAUCGGGUUUCUGGCUGGUCAGGUUAAUCAGAGGACCACCCUGAAGAACCAAUCAGGUUGCAGUGUGUUUGUGAGUCUCUUGGGUGACAUCCAUCAUUCGAAUGGAUAGAGGCUAUGCAACAGCAGCACUACAGCGAAAGGAGGGCAGGGCGUAUUCCCUUUCCAAAAUCCACAGAAACACCAGUCUGGAAUCAAUUUGCUAUCAUACUACUGACCCUAAAACACACACAAACACACACAUUUUAAACCCUAACCCUGGUGAGACUGGCCUGUGCUAUUUUUCAUCCCUGUAAGUUUAUGCGUUGUAAUGUUGUAUCAGGUCUGGGAUAUGGUUCUCUGCUACAUCUCUGACUUCACCUGCUGCUGAAGCUCUUUACCAGAGCACUGGGAGUUAACUGCUGCCAUAAAUAGUCAAAGGAGUGUGUGCAGCGAUCUGCAGGGCAGUGCAGGGCAAAGAUAUAUCUGACAGGAAAAGAGCAAAUCUCCUCUCCAUGCUACAUGCUGUAAAAAGUCACGUUUCAGCGCUUAAACCUUCAGAUCAGAGAAGUUGAUUUUUGAAGAAAUAAAUAAAUAAAUAAAGAGAAAGUAUGUGAGGUGUCUGCUGUACACUUAAUUUGAUUUGCUAGCUACUGUCUCAAAAAUAGAUUGCACAUGGACAGAGCAUUUACAACAUUACAUAAAUCAAGUCAGUUCAGAGGAGAAGAGUAUCAAAAUAAAUUUUUCAUUCGUGAAGCCACAUACAGUAUGUAUUAAGUAGUAUAAUAAGGAGAGUUUGACAUCAUUACCAUCAAUGCAGAGGUGUAGAUAUAAAGUGAACAUACUGUAUACAGAGGCCUCAUUGAUGAAAACAUGCUUUUUUUUUUAAGAGUAGUUGAUCUUUUCAUUUUCAUUAAAUCAGUCAUUCUUAUGCUUGCUCUCAAUGACCGCCGAGCAAAAAAGCUUCUAGUUAGCUCCUAAUUGUCAGUUAUAUUUGCAGAACAGAGUUUGAUUGCAUUGACGCUGCAUGCAUAUGGAUUAAUAAAAAUGAGUUAAGUUAGGUCUCAUGUAGAUGUGUUUAUUAAAUGGACAUGUGAUUGAAAAUUACUAAAAGUUCAUGUUCUGUUAGCAUACAUUAGACAUAUAUAUUUAGAACCCUUCAUGAUCAGAAAAUGUCAUCUAGAUUAAAAGACAUUGUUUUCAGGCUCUGGCCAGUUGACAGCUAACUGUGUAAAAUUUGCUGUGAGGUGGUGCAAUGGGCGUCAUUAAGACAAAAAAAAAAUUCUGGACUUGUGGUAGCACUAAAGAAAAGCAAAGAAAUAUUAAGAUUAAUCCGCUGGAUACCACAAAUAUCCAGAGCAAAUUUCAUGGAAAUCUGGCAAUUGUUCGAGUGUUACAUGAACAACCAACUAACAUCGCAAUCAUUAUCCAGGACAAUAGCAGAACAAAAAAGAUUAUUUUUUUGAGACUAAAAUGGACCUCCUAUUCUUUUAUCAUGUCUGUUUUUAUGAACUAUUAAAAACAUCUGUGGCUUGUUAAUUAUAAUAUAUAAUAUAACACUCCAGUAAAUGAACAGACAGUGUAUUGUUCCUCUGUGGCUCUUUGCUGCCUCACCUCUGCCUCUGCCUGCUUAAUUAAAGGUUAAUUGCGUAGAAUAAGUAUGCACCUCUUGCAAAUGGUCCACAUUUCUUUUUCCAUCCAUGCAGAGCCGAGCUUGUGUGUUGGUUGGGUAGGAGAUCUGGAAUUUAUCAACUUGUUCAGGAAAUGAGAGCCAAGCUUUACCUAACUCAAUGUGUGAGCAGGUACAAAACCAACAUAUGGGAGUGUGUGUAAAGUGUGUUCUCACACACCAUCCAUACACACACACACAAACACAGAAGAAUUCAGUACUCCCUCUGUCAUUUUUAAUCAAGAAUAUGAUCCCUCAUCCCAUCUGGGUUUUUUGACUUGGUGGGCUGCAGUGCGCACACAAUAACACAUCCGCUUAUGAACACUCUCACACACACACACGAUACACACACACACAUGCAUAUGCAAACACGGAUAGACAAUCUGUGUGGUUGCUGAAGCUGAGACCACCAACUGUAUGCUGGGGGUUGGCUUAGCCAUCACAAAGAGCAGAUGGUACUACUCUUGUUUUUAACAGGGGCAGCCAUUGUAGUAGCCGCUCUGACACAAACACACACACAGCCAAACACACGCAUACACAAAAACUAUCUCGGUUUUCAAAAACAAUCCGAUCAGAAAAGCAAUGCAGUUGGCAUGUAGUGGCAGAGAAUAGGUAUAUUUUAUAGUACAAUGUUAUAAUCCCUUGUAUUUAACUUAGUCGUUUGUGUGUCUGUUGUUCUUGUGUCUUUGUUCACCUUCAGGUUCAUUUAGUCAAGUAAAUCCUUGUCCUACUGUCAGAGGCCUCCUUAUCACACCAUGAUCCCCUCCGCUCACUCACUGAAUUUGCUUGUGUGUGUGUGUGUGUGUAUGUACGAGGACAGAGGUCGAUAAGAUAACAUUUGGUGGACCACCUGCCGGGAAGCUCAGUUUGCUAAAUACAAAGUCUCAUCUAACACAUACAUAUAACUGUGUGUGUGUUGGGGGUUUACCGUUUACCUGAACAACUGAGGUGCAAUAGUAUUUGAUUACUGAUAAUGUUAUGAGGACAAGACCCACGUAAAAAAGAAGUGCAAAACAUACAAGCUGUGAGUUUUUACCCAUACAAGAAGAUCAUACAGACAUGUGAACAUGUGAAAUCCGCACACAAAAAAAACUUACAGGUCAUCUCAAGAUUAUGUUACUCUGCCAUAACUCUUCCUCUAACGUCAAUUUAAAAAAAAGACAGAAAUGAAUUUACAGAGACCAAUUUAUAAAAGCAAUCUCCAUCUUAAUUAGUUUGUAUUCCUAAAGCUGUCCCUGUGACAGGAAAACACAACCACAUGUCACCUUUGUUUAUCAUAAGUUCAGAGUCAGAAGGAAAGUGUUACUAUGGGAGUGGACAUUAACAAGUUCUGCUACCAGCUCAGUGCCUCAUAACCUGGUGAGAGAGGGGUGUCUACAUCAUUAGAUUUAACUAGCUACACUGAUAGCAACUCACAGGGUGGUUCACACACAGAAACAGAGAGAGAGGGAGAGAUUGAGACGAAGAAAGAGAGGACUAAAAAUAAUAGUUCUUAAUAUUUCUGUUGUUGUGUUCACGGGCACAGUAUAGAUUAAAUAAAGACGUGAAUUCACUCAGCAAUAAGUGACUGAAAACAGUUGUUCACUGUGCUCGUUCAGCCGUGCGUAUGUACAAGGUUGGACACGCACUUGCAGUGUGUAGAUGUGUGUGCGCGUUCCUCACAACUAAAGGAAUUUUAAUUGUCUGAGACAAAGGAGGAUUUAAUUUUUUCCCUGUACAUCUAUCUUUCACUCCUUCGCUCUCUUUGCUUUUUUUUUCACCGUCCUUUCUUCCAUGAAACAAUAAAAUCGUCUGGCCUCUAAGUUAUGGAGAGCUUUUGAAGUGGCUGGAGGAGCCAGUAAAUUUAGUGGGCACCUUUGGGAGCCUGUUCAGUGGUGCAGUGGCUGCACCUAUAUUUCAUGUGUGCAUGUGCACGUGCCUUCAUGAGUGUGUGUUUGCACGUGCAUGUGUCCAGGCUGUGCCUCUUUUUCUGUGUGUGACACAAAUGGGCUUAGAUUUGGUGUGUGCACAUGCAUGUGUGUGUGUGUGGCUAAAUGUUCGUGUAUCUCUCUAUUUCAUAGUCAUGCUGAUUUGUGGCCGUCUACAUUAGGUUUCCCAGGAUGGCGUAAAUCUCGCUGGACAAACUGCAUUAGAGAUAGAUAUGUAUGCACGUGUUUGUGUAUGAGUAUGUGAAUGAACUUGCACGAGGGCUAUGUAUUGUAUAGUUUGGGUACUGCGCUGUCUUUGACCAUCUGUGGCCAACCAGUGCCCAUAGUUUUUGCAAUGUAUCUGAUACCACUGGUGCUAGUAUGCCUUUAUUUGAGGUUGUUCUAUACAUUGAAUCUGUGGCGAAUACAGUCGAUAAAAUAAAUCUCUCUGGCUGUGUGUUAAGUCUAGCAAAUGCGUGAUUUCACACAUUUAUUAAUCUUUUCUCUUAUUUCUCCACUUCUGCCUUUACAGUUUUAUCACAUAUUCUCAAUAUCUAUUGCAAGCAUAUUAUAAGACAGGCUGCUAUUUGUUUUUAGUUGGUUGUUAGUUGCAGGACAUAUGUGCUUUGUGUUAUGUUUAAGUACAAUGUCUAACAGAAGACAACUAAGCAUAACCUGUCAUUUUUUGUUGCCACUACUUUUUGAAGUCAGCUUGGUGUCUCUGUGCCCUGACCCAUUUUAGACUGGUGACUUGAUCCUUUCUUGAAACACCCAUCCCGUAACCCCACAUGGCCAAGUCAUACAGGAGUUAUAGCACCACUAAAACAUUGUGCCUCACUUUUUAGACAGUAAUACUGUAGCUCCAUAUAGCUGACAGCACUGGCUACAACUCAAUUCAGAGAUAUCUCACUCCUCCAUCAGGUAGAGGUCUGUGAAGGCCCAGCAACAACAUGAAAGUUGAGACAGAAGAUCCCAGGUCAGUUCUCAGAUUAGAGAUCAGUAUAGGGUUCACUGUCUUGCUCAAAGGCACUUCAGCAAGGACAUACAUAACAGUUCAUCCAACCUGCCACCCAAACUCAAUUAUCUCCAUUCACCAGAUCCACCUGCUCCCUGCACAACACAAAACCACGUCCCAUCUCAUCUUCCACAACUUUAACCAUCCAAGCCCCUCUUAACGCUCUGUCUGCCACUUCUCAUUCAUAAUUGUCUGCCUCCAAGAUCUGCACUGUCCCAAUACAAUAUGUAUGUGCUGAAAUAAUGGCACUGUGUUUAUACCUAUUUUGAUCUCUUUGCCAUCUCUUCACUCAUUUGUUGCAUCCCAGUUUAUUAAUCUUAUAUAUCACAAUGCAUAUGUAUUAUAAUACUCAGCAACAAAUGCAUCAUCUGAAGUUAGUGAUGGAAGAUGGGAAAUGUGGAAACAGAAAAGAUGAAAAGAUGUAGAUGUAAAGAUACAAUAUGCAGCAGGAGAAAAUUAAUAGCUGUUUUUAAAAAUAACUUCUUUCUCUUCUGUCUCUUUCUGCUCCUGUCUCUCUUUUUCCUCCACCUCCCUCCCUCCCUCUUUCCUAGACACCUGUGCAGGUCUAGUGUUUCAGCCGAGUCCCUGAAAAAUAAAUGUGGAGCUUCAAUCUCUUAAUCCACUCGGCUCCACGCAGCCACGUCACAUGACACCGCCACGGCCGUCCCAAUGCCCAGACAACAUUGGAGGGAGAGAUUGUUUUGUGUGUGUGUGUGU